GACGAACGCUGGCGGCGUGCCUAAUACAUGCAAGUAGAACGCUGAAGAGAGGAGCUUGCUCUUCUUGGAUGAGUUGCGAACGGGUGAGUAACGCGUAGGUAACCUGCCUUGUAGCGGGGGAUAACUAUUGGAAACGAUAGCUAAUACCGCAUAACAAUGGAUGACACAUGUCAUUUAUUUGAAAGGGGCAAUUGCUCCACUACAAGAUGGACCUGCGUUGUAUUAGCUAGUAGGUGAGGUAACGGCUCACCUAGGCGACGAUACAUAGCCGACCUGAGAGGGUGAUCGGCCACACUGGGACUGAGACACGGCCCAGACUCCUACGGGAGGCAGCAGUAGGGAAUCUUCGGCAAUGGGGGCAACCCUGACCGAGCAACGCCGCGUGAGUGAAGAAGGUUUUCGGAUCGUAAAGCUCUGCUGUAAGUCAAGAACGAGUGUGAGAGUGGAAAGUUCACACUGUGACGGUAGCUUACCAGAAAGGGACGGCUAACUACGUG
rnacentral:rRNA from 1 species